CAGUAGCCAGGUAAUACGGAGGGUGCAAGCGUUAAUCGGAAUUACUGGGCGUAAAGCGCACGCAGGCGGUCUGACAAGUCAGAUGUGAAAUCCCCGGGCUUAACCUGGGAACUGCAUUUGAAACUGUCAGGCUGGAGUCUUGUAGAGGGGGGUGGAAUUCCAGGUGUAGCGGUGAAAUGCGUAGAGAUCUGGAGGAAUACCGGUGGCGAAGGCGGCCCCCUGGACAAAGACUGACGCUCAGGUGCGAAAGCGUGGGGAGCAAACAGGAUUAGAUACCCCUGUAGUCCCUGUCUCUUAUACA
rnacentral:rRNA from 1 species